GAUGAACGCUGGCGGCGUGCCUAAUACAUGCAAGUCGAGCGAACGGACGAGAAGCUUGCUUCUCUGAUGUUAGCGGCGGACGGGUGAGUAACACGUGGAUAACCUACCUAUAAGACUGGGAUAACUUCGGGAAACCGUAGCUAAUACCGGAUCAUAUUUUGAACCGCAUGGUUCAAUAGUGAAAGACGGUCUUGCUGUCACUUAUAGAUGGAUCCGCGCUGGAUUAGCUAGUUGGUAAGGUAACGGCUUACCAAGGCAACGAUGCAUAGCCGACCUGAGAGGGUGAUCGGCCACACUGGAACUGAGACACGGUCCAGACUCCUACGGGAGGCAGCAGUAGGGAAUCUUCCGCAAUGGGCGAAAGCCUGACGGAGCAACGCCGCGUGAGUGAUGAAGGUCUUCGGAUCGUAAAACUCUGUUAUUAGGGAAGAACAUAUGUGUAAGUAACUGUGCACGUCUUGACGGUACCUAAUCAGAAAGCCACGGCUAACUACGUG
rnacentral:rRNA from 1 species